GUAGUCGAAUUCGCAUCAAUCCACAUAUGUUGUGUGGGUUGGAGUGAAACUUGAACUAAAUUCCACCCCAAUCCACUCCAAUACAUGUAGAUUAAGAUGAAUCCGACA
rfam:Sorghum bicolor cultivar BTx623 chromosome 1, whole genome shotgun sequence.